rnacentral:rRNA from 1 species
GGUGGUUUGUCGCGUCGUUUGUGUAAGUCCGCAGCUUAACUGCGGGACUGCAGGCGAUACGGGCAUAACUUGAGUGCUGUAGGGGAGACUGGAAUUCCUGGUGUAGCGGUGGAAUGCGCAGAUAUCAGGAGGAACACCGAUGGCGAAGGCAGGUCUCUGGGCAGUAACUGACGCUGAGGAGCGAAAGCAUGGGGAGCGAACAGGAUUAGAUACCCUGGUAGUCCAUGCCGUAAACGGUGGGCGCUAGGUGUGAGUCCCUUCCACGGGGUUCGUGCCGUAGCUAACGCAUUAAGCGCCCCGCCUGGGGAGUACGGCCGCAAGGCUAAAACUUAAAGGAAUUGACGGGGGCCCGCACAAGCGGCGGAGCAUGUGGAUUAAUUCGAUGCAACGCGAAGAACCUUACCUGGGCUUGACAUACACCGGACCGGGCCAGAGAUGGUCUUUCCCUUUGUGGCUGGUGUACAGGUGGUGCAUGGUUGUCGUCAGCUCGUGUCGUGAGAUGUUGGGUUAAGUCCCGCAACGAGCGCAACCCUUGUCUUAUGUUGCCAGCACUUCGGGUGGGGACUCAUAAGAGACUGCCGGGGUUAACUCGGAGGAAGGUGGGGAUGACGUCAAAUCAUCAUGCCCCU